rnacentral:rRNA from 1 species
GAUGAACGCUGGCGGCGUGCCUAAUACAUGCAAGUCGAACGCUUUGUGGUUCAACUGAUUUGAAGAGCUUGCUCAGAUAUGACGAUGGACAUUGCAAAGAGUGGCGAACGGGUGAGUAACACGUGGGAAACCUACCUCUUAGCAGGGGAUAACAUUUGGAAACAGAUGCUAAUACCGUAUAACAAUGACAACCGCAUGGUUGUUAUUUAAAAGAUGGUUCUGCUAUCACUAAGAGAUGGUCCCGCGGUGCAUUAGCUAGUUGGUAAGGUAAUGGCUUACCAAGGCGAUGAUGCAUAGCCGAGUUGAGAGACUGAUCGGCCACAAUGGGACUGAGACACGGCCCAUACUCCUACGGGAGGCAGCAGUAGGGAAUCUUCCACAAUGGGCGAAAGCCUGAUGGAGCAACGCCGCGUGUGUGAUGAAGGGUUUCGGCUCGUAAAACACUGUUGUAAGAGAAGAAUGACAUUGAGAGUAACUGUUCAAUGUGUGACGGUAUCUUACCAGAAAGGAACGGCUAAAUACGUGCCAGCAGCCGCGGUAAUACGUAUGUUCCAAGCGUUAUCCGGAUUUAUUGGGCGUAAAGCGAGCGCAGACGGUUAUUUAAGACUGAAGUGAAAGCCCUCAGCUCAACUGAGGAAUUGCUUUGGAAACUGGAUGACUUGAGUGCAGUAGAGGAAAGUGGAACUCCAUGU